rnacentral:rRNA from 1 species
GUGCCAGCAGCCGCGGUAAUACGGAGACCCCUAGCGUUGUUCGGAAUCACUGGGCUUAGAGCGGGUGUAGGCGGGACGGUAAGUACUGAGUGAAAUCCCCGGACUCAAUCCGGGAACUGCUUGGUAGACUGCCGUUCUUGAGGCAGGUAGGGGUCACUGGAACCUUAGGUGGAGCGGUGAAAUGCGUAGAUAUCUAAGGGAACGCCUGUGGCGAAAGCGGGUGACUGGGCCUGUUCUGACGCUGAGACCCGAAAGCGUAGGGAGCAAACGGGAUUAGAAACCCUUGUAGUCC